UAGGGAAUCUUCGGCAAUGGACGGAAGUCUGACCGAGCAACGCCGCGUGAGUGAAGAAGGUUUUCGGAUCGUAAAAGUUCUGUUGUAAGAGAAGAACGAGUGUGAGAGUGGAAAGUUCACACUGUGACGGUAUCUUACCAGAAAGGGACGGCUAACUACGUGCCAGCAGCCGCGGUAAUACGUAGGUCCCGAGCGUUGUCCGGAUUUAUUGGGCGUAAAGCGAGCGCAGGCGGUUAGAUAAGUCUGAAGUUAAAGGCUGUGGCUUAACCAUAGUAGGCUUUGGAAACUGUUUAACUUGAGUGCAAGAGGGGAGAGUGGAAUUCCAUGUGUAGCGGUGAAAUGCGUAGAUAUAUGGAGGAACACCGGUGGCGAAAGCGGCUCUCUGGCUUGUAACUGACGCUGAGGCUCGAAAGCGUGGGGAGCAAACAGGAUUAGAUACCCUGGUAGUCCACGCUGUAAACGAUGAGUGCUAGGUGUUAGACCCUUUCCGGGGUUUAGUGCCGUAGCUAACGCAUUAANCACUCCGCCUGGGGGAGUACGACCGCAAGGUNGA
rnacentral:rRNA from 1 species